UUAUGUAAAUAGUGUAAUUUUUCGACGACCCUUGCCAAUACGUGGCUUCGCCACUGGUCAGGCGUCUACCAGUUUAUGGAUGCUCUGGCAUGCAUUAACCAAAAAAGACAAAUUUUGGCGUUGAAUCAUAUGAAGGCCUGAGAUUUUCUGUAAAGCCAGUAAAUAGCCUUCAAAUACAUUAGUUGACUCUUCUGCUCCUCAUAGAGUAAGGGUAUAGUGAGAAAAAAGAACGUGAAAUACUUCCACCUUAUUACUAGGCCCAUUAGCCACCUGGAAACCUUGCUAACCAGUUGUAAUUUAAAGCUUUGUUCAGUACUAAGUUGAACGGCGUAUUGAACGCUAUCAUUACUGAUAAGAACAGAAAUGGUGACAAAAUCACCAUGUCUCAUGCCUCUUUAUGGGGAGAGAAGUGUUGUAGAGCUGGAUUAAUGGCCACAUAGCCAUUUUAAAAAGUUGAUAUACAUGCAUUAACCCGUUUUCUCCCAAAACCCAUCCUCUUCGGCGUACUGAAGAGAGAAGCUCAAUUAUGCUUUUAUAAAAUCUAAUAUGCAAAGUACUUUUGAGCUCGUCUGUUUCAAUCUCAAAUCAAGGUAUUCAUUAGCCUCCAUUGCAGUAUCUAUGAUUUGUCUCCCUCUAAUGAAUGCAUUUUGGUUUCCUGCAACUAGUUUAUCAAUAACCUUCUUCAACAUUCUGUGUGAACAAUUUUAUAUAUACCCCCAGGCCAGGAGGGUAAAAGGACAGCACGGUGCAUUAAGCUUCCGCUAUACGUGGGGUCCAGGGAGGGACCAGACCACAAGGGUCUAUUGUACGCAGCCUUACCCUGCAUUUUUACAAGAGGCUGUUUCCACGGCUCGAUCCCGUGACCUCCUCUUACAAGGCGGUACUAUUGUUCCUACUGCUGGUCACUCUGCAAAGAUACCGCAUUCCUGGCAUCUGAACUUUUGUGAAUAUUGUUCACCUUCAAAUCCAUUGGUACAAACUUGAAUAAGUUCGUUGAUAUGACAAAGUCAAGCACAAAAGGUAGGAAUGUACCUUUGCAUCCUCUGUGCUACCUGUGCAUUUUAUGGUAAUUAAUUAUCUUGUUUCAAAUUUAGAAACUUCAAUAUUAUUACUCCCUCUAGUCCAAAUUUAGUAGAUCUAAUUUCUCUUCUAGUCCAUCCAAUUUAUUUUUUUUGUUGGUAAGAGGGGAAACCCGCAGCUGGUACAAUCUCUGCCACAGCCUCUGCCCUUCGGGUGAGCACUUUGUGCGUUCUGGGUAAACCUUCCCCUGUAUAGUCCAUCCAAUUUCCUGAAGCACUUUCACAGCUUUCUGCAAUACUUUUUCUUGGUUCAUUCUCUGCUUGUUAGUAUAGGAGAUUUGAAGCUAUAAGGUAAAACAAGAAAUUCACUUCAGAAUGAUUCUGCUAUUUACUUUAUAACCUUAUGAUCACUCUUCGAAAAAGGCUGCAUCCCCUCCAUUACAUUUUUAAACUAUUUCAUAGCCGGAUGUUCCUUUAUGUACCUGCACACAACUAGUCUUCAUAAAAUAACAUUCUUUUGUAAAACGAUUAACUUUUUUCAUCUGUUCAUUUGGUUAUGAAGAGGUCCGAUUCUAUGCUCCUCUCCCUCAUGCCUUGUGGGUUUUGAGAAUACACAAGGAAAUGUCUGUCAAACCCAUCACUACCUCUAGAUGGAUUUAAGAAAAUUGCAGUAAAGUAAUACAAAAGUCCUACUUCCACGUAUCUGAAAUAUAAUUUGAACAAAUCUCUAACACAGACUACUUUUGGAAAUGUACUGGUACCUUCUUCUCUUAUGACAUGCUCUAGUCAAAUGAACUAGCUUAAGAUGGUAAUACAAGUAAAGCUGGCUAUCAUGUUUCGAUUGCAUUUUCUCUCUAUCUUUGUGUAUUUUCUUAGAAUAAGUUUGUAUUUUGAUUUUUAUUUUUAUUUCAGAAUGGCAGGUAUUGUAUACCACAGAAAUAACUCAAAAGUCAAAGAAGUUCGGCGAUGGGAUUUUGCUACUUGUGAUGUCUUGGGGAGAGGUUAUUAGGCGGGACAUGGCGCAGCUGGAGCUGACUGCAUGGCCUAGACAGGAGGGUGUGGAGGUCAAAGAUUAGGGUAGAAGGUUCGUAGGUAGUUGCGCAUUUCUCUUUGUCUUACUCAGUUUGCUAGCAUUAGUGUUAGUAUGUUAUCUUUUAUCCAUAGAUGGCUAUUCCUACUUGUUGUUUUUAUUCCUACUUGUUGCAA